rnacentral:lncRNA from 1 species
AAAGGGAAAGGUUUUCUGAUUUUGUUUACCUUUUGGUUCUUAUGAAAUGACAAGUAUGAACAAGAUACCACCUUCAAAGAUAUUAAAAAGGAAAGCAAGGAUGAGUAUAAUUAAGGCACGAAAUAGAAGAAAGAAAGCAUUAUAGUGACGCACUUGGUUGAGAAGGACCUAAGAGAGGAUGGAAUGGACUGAAAUAUAUACCUUACGUGGUAGUUGUGGUAGUUAGGAGGAAGGAGGAGAAAGUGCAGAAUCUUGGCUCCAAGACAUAAGGACUGAAACCAACAUGUAUAUCUCAAAAUCAAACCGAAACACUACCCAUAGCCACACGUGGUGAUGUCCACCCAAAGUGUCAACCGAAAUUUUGUUUAGUGGGACCAAAAAAUAGCUUAUAAUAUUUUUGCAUAGGCAAGGAUUGACAUGGGUAGUUAGGGUGAGGGAUUGACCGCGGAGGAUAAUUUCGAUGACACGGGGAAGAAUGAGUGUUUCUUUUGUUAAAAAAAAAUGAUAUUUUUUUUUUGUUUUUAUUAAUUCUGCAGAGAUUUUAAAAACAUAAUAAGAUACAGCAAAACUGCUGAGUGCAUAUCAUAUCAAAAGUUCCCUGUUUUUUAGUUGUCUAUUGUAUUACUUAGAGUCAAUAAAAUUAAAGUUACAAUUUAAAUUUCGGUGAGUAUAACAAAUUGAAAAGACAAACCUCAUUCUAACAGUAUCGUCAGUAAAGUAAAAUAAAUUAAAUAAACAAAUUUAUUAUCAUUAGAUGAGAGCGAGCAAUAAUGCCACCUCGAUGAUGAAAUUAAUUUGACAGCAGCAAACAGCCGCAUUAGUUUACAUGCCAGAGUACAGUGUGACAUAUGAAGGCAAAACUUAACUUCAGAAGCAACGUACUAAAAGGAAUUGACACAGCAAAACCCGAGACUCACUCAUAAUUGGCGGCAUAAUUGGUUAAAGAUAAUAAUAUGUUAAAAACAUAAAUGUUGGGGGCAUUAGUUGUAUGUUUUUUUAUAAGUGAAUAUGAGUAAAUAACUCAAGUUGGCAGUUGUGUUUAGUUUGAUUUCUGUUACAACUGAAUGUCAACCAUAUAAAUGCGGUUCUUGUAAGAGAUUACAGUGGCUUUAUAAAAAUGUCAGUGUUUGUUUGUGAUGUUGGACUCCCAAAAUUCAACAUUUGGAAGAUAAAAGGAAACAAAUUGAAAUUUCAAUCAUUACAUUACAUGAAAUGUUCAGUCAAUAUACUCACCCCACGCCAUAAACGUAUUGAAUCAUGGUGAAGGUCUCUCAAUGAGCCUAUGAAAGAUAUGUCUGAAAGAAAGGUAUGAUAUGCACACACGAAUAAUGACAUUGAACUGCAAAGAAGGAAAAAUGAGGAGAGAUUAUGAAAGUGAAACAAAGGAUAGCUAAGCAUUUAGUAUUGUAAAAGUCUAAAUGAAAAAUAAAGGACCAAUAUCGGUAACUUAAAUGAAAUGGAAUUGCAUAUUGGGAGUUCUAUGUAUAUUCAUGUAUUUUCGAGUCAAUUAAAAAACAUGGGCACCAGUAGGGCAGCAGCAGUAUAAUGCAGGAGUCUAGUCUCUUAACACCAGCUAAGAGAGUAAUAAUAACCUCAUUUGAUAACAACACUCCCUUGGGGUCACUAUAACAACCUCAUUUGCAUAAUAAUCAGAUUAAUAAAGAAAGAAAAUGGCAAAAGAGAAAUCGAAUUUACCAAGGUAGUUCAAUUAAGUGGCAGUCUUCCAGAGAGAAAACAACUUGUAAACCACCAAAUAAAAAAUAGGUGAAGAAAUAUGCUAAUAGCAACAGAAUAACAAAGGAAGCAAGCAGUAACAUAAUAGGUGAAUGAAACGAUUAUUAAUUUGAAAAAGAAAGGCAGAAUGAAUAUGAAUAUUAUUAAAGAAGGGUUAAGGGGGAAAAUUUCCACGGCACUGCACCAUCAACGGAUGAUUCACUUUACAAAAAAAAAACAAUAAAAUUUUAUAAUCUCUCACUUUGAUUUGAACCGGAAAGGCAAUAAUAGUUGUGAGGUCGAAAGUUUCGUUGGUAUAAACCCUAGCCCAUGGAGAAGAGAAUGGGAGGGAAAAGACGAAUGGGAGGGAAAAGACGAGAGGGAAAAGACGAAUGGGAGGGAAAAGACGAGAGGGAAAAUAGAAAUUUGGGACACCACCCGCUCCCUCAUAAUUUGGAGCCGGAGCCUGGGGUUAAAAAAAGAGGGUACAAUAAUUUUGACCACUGAUUUUGAACUAUAAUUAUAAUAUAUUAAAAUGUUGGAAAAAAAGUUAAUUUAACUUAUAAACUUUAAAUGACUGUAACUUUUGAUAGGAAUAUCCGUUUGAGGCCCAUAAUAUGUCAAAACGCUCGAAAUUGAAAGAGGAAUUCCUUGGCAAAUUCCCAAAGGGGAUUUGGUCAACUCAUUUUUUCAAAAAAUGCCUCUAAGUACCUCAAAAAUAGGAUUUAAGAUUAAAAUUUGGGUGGUUAGAUGUUAAAUGCGUUUAUUGGAAAAAUGAGUUGUCCAA